GGCGGCGUAGCUCAGUUUGGUUAGAGCACACGGCUCAUACCCGUGGCGUCACUGGUUCGAUCCCAGUCGCCGCUACCA
rnacentral:tRNA from 1 species